rnacentral:rRNA from 1 species
GACGAACGCUGGCGGCGUGCUUAACACAUGCAAGUCGAACGGAGGUUUGAGAGGAAGCUUGCGAAUCGCAAACCUUAGUGGCGGACGGGUGAGUAACGCGUGGAUAACCUGCCUAUUGGACCGGGACAACACCGGGAAACUGGUGCUAAUACCGGAUACGCUCGUGAGGACACAUGUUAUCACGAGGAAAGGAGCAAUCCGCUAAUAGAUGGGUCCGCGUCCCAUUAGCUAGUUGGAGGUGUAAGAGACCCCCAAGGCGACGAUGGGUAGCCGGCCUGAGAGGGUGGACGGCCACACUGGAACUGAGACACGGUCCAGACUCCUACGGGAGGCAGCAGUGGGGAAUCUUCCGCAAUGGGCGAAAGCCUGACGGAGCAACGCCGCGUGAGUGAUGAAGGCCUUCGGGUUGUAAAACUCUGUCUUCAGGGAAGAAAAAAAUGACGGUACCUGAGGAGGAAGCCCCGGCUAACUACGUGCCAGCAGCCGCGGUAAAACGUAGGGGGCGAGCGUUGUCCGGAAUUACUGGGCGUAAAGGGCGCGUAGGCGGUUUUUUAAGUCAGAGGUGAAAACUACCGGCUCAGCCGGUAGCCUGCCUUUGAAACUGAGAGACUUGAGGGCAGGAGAGGGGAGUGGAAUUCCCAGUGUAGCGGUGAAAUGCGUAGAUAUUGGGAGGAACACCAGUGGCGAAGGCGGCUCUCUGGCCUGUUACUGACGCUGAGGCGCGAAAGCGUGGGGAGCGAACGGGAUUAGAUACCCCGGUAGUCCACGCCGUAAACGAUGGGUGCUAGGUGUAGGAGGUAUCGACCCCUUC